rnacentral:rRNA from 1 species
UACGUGGGGCGCAAGCGUUGUCCGGAUUUAUUGGGCGUAAAGGGCGCGCAGGCGGCAUACGUAGUCAGGCGUGAAAGCCCCGGGCUUAACCUGGGAAUUGCGUUUGAUACUCGUAAGCUAGAGUUCGGGAGAGGUUGGUGGAAUUCCCAGUGUAGAGGUGAAAUUCGUAGAUAUUGGGAAGAACACCGGUGGCGAAGGCGGCCAACUGGACCGAAACUGACGCUGAGGCGCGAAAGCGUGGGGAGCAAACAGG